CACCGAGCAGCGCCGAGCAAGCGGUCAUUAACGGGAAAAGGAAACUGACGCCAUCUUUGAUUGAAUUCGGCAGGUGUAUUCAAGGUGUAUUGUUGUUAUGUGGGUUUUCCUACUCUCUCUUGGGUUAAGUUUUAUUUUGGUGACUAAACUUUUGCCGAAUUGUUACUGGGGCGUACACACGUCCACAACUUUGCUAGCUGAAAAUGCCUCAAACUGCUGCUUUACCCAACGGAGGACGGAUGUUACGUAGCAAAAUGGACGUGAAGGAGUUUGCUUCCAUGGAUAUUUAAAGGCCUAGAGACUUGACAGGAGGGUGGCCCUUUCAGCUCUGAAACAAGGACAUUAUGGUGAAUGAGGACUGACACUGAUUGGACUUCAGGUAUACCUUCAGGAAGACCUUCAAACAUGAGUCAGCGAGCCAAUACUGACAGAUGCUCCGUUGACAAGACAGCUGCCAGCACUCAAUCCAGCAACUGGGUCAAGUCCUUCUGACAACCAUGACAAGUCCCUGCCAUGAGGGCUGUGCUGCUGUCCCCCCAGGCCCUCUGACUUACCCAUGUGUCACCUGUGCUCUCCAGGGGCCUUGGAGAAGACCUUUGGGACUCUCCUGUGGUUCACAUUUGGUGGUCACAUACCCAUGAACAGGAGAUGAAGCUUUGUCUUAUAAUUAGGCUCUGUGGCGUCCAGGAGCUUACAACCUACGCCUGCCGUUUAGGGAUGAAGCUGACUGUUCCUUUCCAAUCCUUGCUGCAUUAUUAAGGGUGACAGGACUCGUUGCAGAGUGUCUCUACCAUUCUCUUUGUACUGCUUCCCCUCGCCCGCUACCACCCCACAACCCCCCGGCCCUCCUCGACAUCCCACCGCCACAUGUGUCCUCUGUGAAAUGGAAAUGCUGCCCCAUUAAAAAUCGUCAACCUGAAGCAGAUCACUGCUGCACUUAUGCUAAUGUAGACACAGGAAAAUAUCACACAAGGAAAGGGAGGAAAAAAAAGUUAGAGAGGGAAGCAAAUCGGAUAAAAAAUUACCAGUUUCACUUGAGGGAUGAAAGUAUAGUGCCUCUAAUUGGAAAUGAAUACUGUUGUAGUGUGUAGUUAGGAAAUAUUCACAAUUGUACAGGAGUUUGGGUGGGUUUAAAGUGAGAGUUGAGGAUGUACUUGGAGAGGAGGAGAGAGAGAGAGAGAGAGAGAUGGGAAACACAGACAACAGCAUACUUGGAUGGGAGAUAAUUAAGCCUACAGUUUGUCCCUGCACCAAACAGCAGACGCAAUAACAUACAUCAGCAUUUGCAGUCGGCCACAACGCCAUGGUUGGUUACUGUGCAGGCUGGAUUUACAGCUGUUUAUUCAUGUUCAUGAUUUUAAUUUAUUUCAAGUUUUCUGGUAAAUGUUUAAAGUGGUUUCUGGAUAAUUGUUGACUGCUUAGCCACAAAUAUAAAGUUGUAAAGUGUAGCCUUGGCUACUGGGAAAUGGGCCUUACAAUCGCUUAACAAUUAAAAUCUAACAACACUUCAGUCUUCAAACGACGCAUAAAAUUAUAGCAGAAAAUGAGGGUUCUCUUAUUUAUCUGUUUUGGUGCCUCUUUGGCGGCCUGGGAUCAGCCCCUCUGUCACCAUGGAGAAUGACAGUAAUGAUAAACAGUAAUCAAAUCUGCUCCUGUGAGGGUCUGCCUCUUUCCUCACUGCACAUAAUAGGGUGAGGGGAGGAAAAUUAAGUGUCCCUUUGAUCCAUGUGGCUGAAUACUGAGCAUGUAGCAAAUUAAAAAGAGAAUCCUGCUGCA